UUCAUUCGUUUAGAGAGAUUCCCCUGAAACACACCUCUACAGGUAGGAGGGGGAUUCAUUCGUUUAGAGAGAUUCCCCUGAAACACACCUCUACAGGUAGGAGGGGGAUUCAUUCGUUUAGAGAGAUUCCCCUGAAACACACCUCUACAGGUAGGAGGGGGAUUCAUUCGUUUAGAGAGAUUCCCCUGAAACACACCUCUACAGGUAGGAGGGGGAUUCAUUCGUUUAGAGAGAUUCCCCUGAAACACACCUCUACAGGUAGGAGGGGGAUUCAUUCGUUUAGAGAGAUUCCCCUGAAACACACCUCUACAGGUAGGAGGGGGAUUCAUUCGUUCAGAGAGAUUCCCCUGAAACACACCUCUACAGGUAGGAGGGGGAUUCAUUCGUUUAGAGAGAUUCCCCUGAAACACACCUCUCUACAGGUAGGAGGGGGAUUCAUUCGUUUAGAGAGAUUCCCCUGAAACACACCUCUCUACAGGUAGGAGGGGGAUUCAUUCGUUCAGAGAGAUUCCCCUGAAACACACCUCUACAGGUAGGAGGGGGAUUCAUUCGUUUAGAGAGAUUCCCCUGAAACACACCUCUACAGGUAGGAGGGGGAUUCAUUCGUUUAGAGAGAUUCCCCUGAAACACACCUCUACAGGUAGGAGGGGGAUUCAUUCGUUUAGAGAGAUUCCCCUGAAACACACCUCUACAGGUAGGAGGGGGAUUCAUUCGUUUAGAGAGAUUCCCC